CAAAAAUCAAAGGUUAGAUACCCAAUAUAGGUAUUUCAUAUAUACAGCUUCUGAAGAAAGAAAUAAGGACAUAUAGGAGUUCUAACUCUAGCUCCCACCCAUGAAACAACACAUGGGAAAUUUGAGGAAGUUCCAAGUAAAGUCUUACAUACUAGUUCCAAAUAUUUGCAUCAUAGCAGCUUGGCAAUUCUUUGCUAAUGGAUAAUGCUUGAGGCAAACUCUAGCAAAAUCAUGCUCAUGGUAAGUGAAAUCAAGUGAUGCAGAUUGCUUUGUUCUACAUCACCAAGUUAUUAGCCAGCAAUAACUUUGCAAAGUGUAUGAGAGUCAAAAAGCAGAAACAACAAAAUAUUUUUCUGAUCUCUAGCUAAAAGAAUAAAAAUAUCAUUCAUUACAGAUGGUCUUCAAUUUAUCUGAUAAUGUUUUGCAAUUAAUAACAUACAUUAGGACCUCAUACAAUAGCAAGUACACUAUUUCACAAGUUCUCACCUCUUAUUCUAGUCUCUUUCUCUCCUCAAAUAUAAUAAAUCAAAACAUACAAUCACCACAGAAACAGUAAUAAAAAAGGAAAUAGUUUAUGUACAUAUCCAAAAUCCCAAUUUUAAUUGCAAAUCAAAAUCCCAGUUCAUCAAUAAUAAGAAUUAAAAUCCAAAAUCCCAAUUUUAAUCCCAAAACACACCAAACAAGACCCCCCAUCACUCACCACCAAUCCACAAACAAUCAAACAAGAUCAAAUCAAACAAUACCCAUUAAGUUUCAGCCGAGCAUCCAUUAAACAUAAGCAAAAAUAAUGUAGAAACCAUCAAUAUGGAAUUAAACAGCGUACCAGUAGAAUGAUGAUUAUAGCAUAAAUCACCACCAAUGAUGAAUAACCAGACCACCGAUGCCUUAGACACUGAUGAGUACCAGCGGAAAUCACCAAAGCUGAACCACGGAUAUUGCUUUGUGUGUACCCAAAUGAAUACAAGCAGA
rnacentral:misc_RNA from 1 species